rnacentral:tRNA from 1 species
UAAUAGAAACAAAAAUUUGUAUUUAGUUUCGACCUAAUCUUUGAUGUGACCCCCAUCCUAUUUU